rnacentral:rRNA from 1 species
UGCAGCCAUAUCAUCCUGUAGCCCAAGCCUGGUUGCCCACUGAAGCUAAGCAGGGCUGAGCCUGGUCAGUACCUGGAUGGGAGACCUCCUGGGAAAACUAGGUUGCUGCUGGAA